AUGGGCUAUAUGGAGGUCCUGCAAUCAAUGCGUGCCCUCGACUUCAACACCCAACUCAGGUCACGCAGGGAGGCAGGCCAUCAGUCUGGUGUGUGAUGCUGUGCUGGGUGUGAAGGGGGUGACAAGGAAGAGAAAGCCCUGUAGCUGCCUGCUCAGCUCUAUCCUGGGAAGGAGUAACCUGAAAUUUGCUGGAAUGCCAAUCACUCUCACCGUCUCCACCAGCAGCCUCAACCUCAUGGCCGCAGACUGCAAACAGGACACAGCUGAGGAUGUUGCCUACGUUGCCAAAGACCCUGUGAAUCAGAGAGCCUGCCACAUUCUGGAGUGUCCCAAAGGCCCUCCCAGGAUGUCAUUAGCACCAUUGGCCAGGCCUUCGAGUUGUGCUUCAAACAAUACCUCACGAACCCACCCCAACUGCUCACCCCCAAGACAGGAUGGCUGGCUUUGAUGGAUCAGCUUGGGAUGAGGAGGAGGAAGAGCCACCUGACCAUUAGUACUAUAAUGACGUCCCUGGGAAGGAACCUUCUCUUGGGGAGUUGGUAGACAUGAGGCUUCGGGAAGGAGCCACUUCAGAGGCUGCUUGACCCACUCCACCCAGUGUCUGGACCCCCAGCCACUUGGGAGCUACACUGCCUGUGGGAUAGCCUGCUGGGGGAGAUCCAGAAGUCCGCAAACAGAUGCCACCUCCACCACCCUGUCCAGCAGGCAGAGAGCUCUUCAAUGAUCCCUAUAUCAACGUCCAGAACCUAGACAAGGCCCGGCAAGCAGAAGGUGGUGCUAGGCCCCCCCAUCCUGCCAUCAAUCGCAGUGCACCCUGGGACCUCUUUGACAUGAAGCCCUUUAAAGAUGCUCUUUGGGUGCCUCCCCCUCCCCAGUGGUUUCCAUGGCUGAGCAGCUCCAAGGGGAGCCCUGGUUCCACGGGAAGCUGAGCCAGCGAGAGGCUGAGGCAUUGCUGCAGCUCCAUGGCGACUUCCUGGUGCGGGAGAGCAUGACCAAGGCCAGUAUGUGCUUACUGGCUUGCAGAGUGGGCUGCCUAAGCACCUGCUAUUGGUGGACCCUGAAGGACUGGUUUGGACAAAGGAUCACUGCUUUGAGAGUGUCAAUCCCAGCACUUUGGGAGACCAAGCCAGGCAGAUCACAAGGUCAGGAGAUCGAGACCAUCCUGGCUAAUACGGUGAAACCCGGUCUCUACUAAAAAUACAAAAAAUUAGCUGGGCGUGGUGGCAGGCGCCCGUAGUCCCUACUCAGGAGGCUGAGGCAGGAGAAUAGUGUGAACCCAGGAGGCGGAGCUUGCAGUGAGCCGAGAUCACGCCACUGUACUCCAGCCUGGGCAACAGAGCGAGACUCCGUCUCAAAAAAAAAAAGAGAGUGUCAGUCACCUCAUCAGCUACCACAUGGACAAUCACUGGCCUAUCAUCUCUGUGGGCAGUGAACUGUAUCUACAGCAACCUGUGAAGUGGAAACUGUGA
rnacentral:lncRNA from 1 species